rnacentral:rRNA from 1 species
CGCGUAGAUAGCUGCCUAGUAGUGGGGGAUAGCCAGAGGAAACUCUGAUUAAUACCGCAUACGCUCUACGGAGGAAAGGGGGCUUCGGCUCUCGCUAUUAGAUGUGUCUGCGUGGGAUUAGCUAGUUGGUGAGGUAAUGGCUCACCAAGGCGACGAUCUCUAGCUGGUCUGAGAGGAUGAUCAGCCACACUGGGACUGAGACACGGCCCAGACUCCUACGGGAGGCAGCAGUGGGGAAUAUUGCACAAUGGGGGAAACCCUGAUGCAGCCAUGCCGCGUGUGUGAAGAAGGCUCUAGGGU